UACAGAGGUCUCAAGCGUUGUUCGGAUUCAUUGGGCGUAAAGGGUGCGUAGGUGGCGCGGUAAGUCGGGUGUGAAAUCUCGGAGCUUAACUCCGAAAUUGCAUUCGAUACUGCCGUGCUCGAGGACUGGAGAGGAGACUGGAAUUCAUGGUGUAGCAGUGAAAAUGCGUAGAGAUCAUGAGGAAGACCAGUGGCGAAGGCGGGUCUCUGGACAGUAACUGACGUGAGGAGCGAAAGCGUGGGUAGCAAACAGG
rnacentral:rRNA from 1 species